rnacentral:rRNA from 1 species
UACGAGGGGGGCGAGCGUUGUUCGGAAUUAUUGGGCGUAAAGAGCUCGUAGGCGGUCUGUCGCGUCGGCUGUGAAAACUCGGGGCUCAACCCCGAGCCUGCAGUCGAUACGGGCAGACUAGAGUGCUGUAGGGGAGACUGGAAUUCCUGGUGUAGCGGUGAAAUGCGCAGAUAUCAGGAGGAACACCGGUGGCGAAGGCGGGUCUCUGGGCAGUAACUGACGCUGAGGAGCGAAAGCGUGGGGAGCGAACAGG